rnacentral:rRNA from 1 species
AUGUACAUUACUACAACAUAGCAUUAAUGUAACAUAUCCCAUUAUAACUCCGUAGUUAAGCUCACUCAGGCUAGAGUAGUACUGGAAUGGGUGACCAUUGGGGAAGUCCUAGUGUUUUACAUG